CCUGAAGGCCCAGAUGGUAAAGCAUCUGCCUACAAUGCAGGAGACCAGGGUUCAAUCCCUGGGUCAGGA
rnacentral:tRNA from 1 species